UACGUAGGGGGCAAGCGUUGUCCGGAAUCAUUGGUCGUAAAGCGCGUGUAGGCGGUCCGGUAAGUCGGCUGUGAAAGUCCAGGGCUCAACCCUGGGAUGCCGGUCGAUACUGCCGGACUAGAGUUCGGAAGAGGCGAGUGGAAUUCCCGGUGUAGCGGUGAAAUGCGCAGAUAUCGGGAGGAACACCAAUGGCGAAGGCAGCUCGCUGGGACGUUACUGACGCUGAGACGCGAAAGCGUGGGGAGCAAACAGG
rnacentral:rRNA from 1 species